rnacentral:rRNA from 1 species
GGGGAAUAUUGGACAAUGGGCGAAAGCCUGAUCCAGCAAUGCCGCGUGAGUGAUGAAGGCCCUAGGGUUGUAAAGCUCUUUUACCCGGGAUGAUAAUGACAGUACCGGGAGAAUAAGCUCCGGCUAACUCCGUGCCAGCAGCCGCGGUAAUACGGAGGGAGCUAGCGUUGUUCGGAAUUACUGGGCGUAAAGCGCACGUAGGCGGCUAUUCAAGUCAGGGGUGAAAUCCCGGGGCUCAACCUCGGAACUGCCCUUGAAACUGGAUGGCUAGAAUCCUGGAGAGGCGAGUGGAAUUCCGAGUGUAGAGGUGAAAUUCGUAGAUAUUCGGAAGAACACCAGUGGCGAAGGCGACUCGCUGGACAGGUAUUGACGCUGAGGUGCGAAAGCGUGGGGAGCAAAC